rnacentral:lncRNA from 1 species
AAAAACCACAUUUCAUGCAAUUGUACUACCCUUAAAAAGUAUGUCACUUUAAUUGACAUAUAGUGCAUAUUACUCUACACAACAAUAUUAAAAACAAAAACAAAUAUAUCUUGUACUAGUAAUUGUAAUUAACCUUACUUAAUAAAAUUGAAAAUUAAAAUAGGGAACAUGUCACAGAGACAACAACACAACCAAGGAGCAGAAAACAGCAGAAGGCUACCAAUGGGUCUUCAACAUAGCGAGAAAAUCACGCACCCGGAGGCGGGUCAACUUGGCCACUAAACACAACACAUCAUCUCAGCUUCAAGGUUGUUAAUGCAUAUUUGACAUUAAUAUAUCAUAAACUAACUGGCUGUAUAAUAACGGGAA